rnacentral:rRNA from 1 species
UUCCAGACUCCUACGGGAGGCAGCAGUGAGGAAUAUUGGUCAAUGGGCGGAAGCCUGAACCAGCCAAGUCGCGUGAGGGAAUAAGGCCCUACGGGUCGUAAACCUCUUUUGCCGGGGAGCAAGGGCGGGGACGUGUCCCGGCCCGGAGAGUACCCGGAGAAAAGGCAUCGGCUAACUCCGUGCCAGCAGCCGCGGUAAUACGGAGGAUCCAAGCGUUAUCCGGAUUUAUUGGGUUUAAAGGGUGCGUAGGCGGUUUGUUAAGUUAGAGGUGAAAUACCGGUGCUCAACCCCGGAACUGCCUCUAAUACUGUUGAACUAGAGAGUAGUUGCGGUAGGCGGAAUGUAUGGUGUAGCGGUGAAAUGCUUAGAGAUCAUACAGAACACCGAUUGCGAAGGCAGCUUACCAAACUAUAUCUGACGUUGAGGCACGAAAGCGUGGGUAGCACACAGGAUUAGAUACCCCUGUA